rnacentral:rRNA from 1 species
GUUAAGUGACUAAGCGUACACGGUGGAUGCCUGGGCAGUCAGAGGCGAUGAAGGACGUACUAACUUGCGAUAAGCGCAGAUAAGGCAGUAAGAGCCGUUUGAGUCUGCGAUUUCCGAAUGGGGAAACCCAACUGCAUAAGCAGUUACUGUUAACUGAAUACAUAGGUUAACAGAGCAAACCGGGGGAACUGAAACAUCUAAGUACCCCGAGGAGAAGAAAUCAACCGAGAUUCCGGUAGUAGCGGCGAGCGAACCUGGAUUAGCCCUUAAGCACUCGGUGAAGUAGGUGAACAAGCUGGAAAGCUUGGCGAUACAGGGUGAUAGCCCCGUAACCGACGCUUCAUCGAGCGUGAAAUCGAGUAGGGCGGGACACGUGAUAUCCUGUCUGAAUAUGGGGGGACCAUCCUCCAAGGCUAAAUACUCCUGACUGACCGAUAGUGAACCAGUACCGUGAGGGAAAGGCGAAAAGACCCCUGUGAGGGGAGUGAAAUAGAACCUGAAACCGUGUACGUACAAGCAGUAGGAGCACCUUCGUGGUGUGACUGCGUACCUUUUGUAUAAUGGGUCAGCGACUUAUAUUCAGUGGCAAGGUUAACCGUAUAGGGGAGCCGUAGCGAAAGCGAGUCUUAACUGGGCGCUCAGUCUCUGGAUAUAGACCCGAAACCGGGUGAUCUAGCCAUGGGCAGGUUGAAGGUUGAGUAACAUCAACUGGAGGACCGAACCGACUAAUGUUGAAAAAUUAGCGGAUGACUUGUGGCUAGGGGUGAAAGGCCAAUCAAACUCGGAGAUAGCUGGUUCUCCCCGAAAGCUAUUUAGGUAGCGCCUCGGACGAAUACUACUGGGGGUAGAGCACUGUUAAGGCUAGGGGGUCAUCCCGACUUACCAACCCUUUGCAAACUCCGAAUACCAGUAAGUACUAUCCGGGAGACACACGGCGGGUGCUAACGUCCGUCGUGGAGAGGGAAACAACCCAGACCGCCAGCUAAGGUCCCAAAGUAUUGCUAAGUGGGAAACGAUGUGGGAAGGCUCAGACAGCUAGGAUGUUGGCUUAGAAGCAGCCAUCAUUUAAAGAAAGCGUAAUAGCUCACUAGUCGAGUCGGCCUGCGCGGAAGAUGUAACGGGGCUAAGCAAUACACCGAAGCUGCGGCAAUGUCUUUUAGACAUUGGGUAGGGGAGCGUUCUGUAAGCCGUUGAAGGUGAAUCGUAAGGUUUGCUGGAGGUAUCAGAAGUGCGAAUGCUGACAUGAGUAACGACAAAGGGGGUGAAAAACCUCCUCGCCGGAAGACCAAGGGUUCCUGUCCAACGUUAAUCGGGGCAGGGUGAGUCGACCCCUAAGGUGAGGCCGAAAGGCGUAAUCGAUGGGAAACGGGUUAAUAUUCCCGUACUUCUGACUAUUGCGAUGGGGGGACGGAGAAGGCUAGGUGGGCCAGGCGACGGUUGUCCUGGUUCAAGUGCGUAGGCUUGAGAGUUAGGUAAAUCCGGCUCUCUCUAAGGCUGAGACACGACGUCGAGCUACUACGGUAGUGAAGUCAUUGAUGCCAUGCUUCCAGGAAAAGCCUCUAAGCUUCAGAUAGUCAGGAAUCGUACCCCAAACCGACACAGGUGGUCGGGUAGAGAAUACCAAGGCGCUUGAGAGAACUCGGGUGAAGGAACUAGGCAAAAUGGUACCGUAACUUCGGGAGAAGGUACGCUCUUGAUGGUGAAGUCCCUCGCGGAUGGAGCUGACGAGAGUCGCAGAUACCAGGUGGCUGCAACUGUUUAUUAAAAACACAGCACUGUGCAAAAUCGCAAGAUGACGUAUACGGUGUGACGCCUGCCCGGUGCCGGAAGGUUAAUUGAUGGGGUUAGCGCAAGCGAAGCUCUUGAUCGAAGCCCCGGUAAACGGCGGCCGUAACUAUAACGGUCCUAAGGUAGCGAAAUUCCUUGUCGGGUAAGUUCCGACCUGCACGAAUGGCGUAAUGAUGGCCACGCUGUCUCCACCCGAGACUCAGUGAAAUUGAAAUCGCUGUGAAGAUGCAGUGUACCCGCGGCUAGACGGAAAGACCCCGUGAACCUUUACUACAGCUUGGCACUGAACAUUGAACCUACAUGUGUAGGAUAGGUGGGAGGCUAUGAAGACGUGACGCCAGUUGCGUUGGAGCCGUCCUUGAAAUACCACCCUUGUAUGUUUGAUGUUCUAACUUAGACCCAUUAUCUGGGUUGAGGACAGUGCCUGGUGGGUAGUUUGACUGGGGCGGUCUCCUCCCAAAGAGUAACGGAGGAGCACGAAGGUGGGCUAAUCACGGUUGGACAUCGUGAGGUUAGUGCAAUGGCAUAAGCCCGCUUAACUGCGAGAAUGACGGUUCGAGCAGGUGCGAAAGCAGGUCAUAGUGAUCCGGUGGUUCUGUAUGGAAGGGCCAUCGCUCAACGGAUAAAAGGUACUCCGGGGAUAACAGGCUGAUACCGCCCAAGAGUUCAUAUCGACGGCGGUGUUUGGCACCUCGAUGUCGGCUCAUCACAUCCUGGGGCUGAAGUCGGUCCCAAGGGUAUGGCUGUUCGCCAUUUAAAGUGGUACGCGAGCUGGGUUUAGAACGUCGUGAGACAGUUCGGUCCCUAUCUGCCGUGGGCGUUGGAAGAUUGAAGGGGGCUGCUCCUAGUACGAGAGGACCGGAGUGGACGAACCUCUGGUGUUCGGGUUGUGUCGCCAGACGCAUUGCCCGGUAGCUAAGUUCGGAAUUGAUAAGCGCUGAAAGCAUCUAAGCGCGAAGCGAGCCCUGAGAUGAGUCUUCCCUGACAGUUUAACUGUCCUAAAGGGUUGUUCGAGACUAGAACGUUGAUAGGCAGGGUGUGUAAGCGUUGUGAGGCGUUGAGCUAACCUGUACUAAUUGCCCGUGAGGCUUAACC